rnacentral:piRNA from 1 species
UGGGUACUGCAUGCACAUGGUGCAAGGGC